rnacentral:rRNA from 1 species
GACGAACGCUGGCGGCGUGCUUAACACAUGCAAGUCGAACGGAAAGGCCCUGCUUUUGUGGGGUGCUCGAGUGGCGAACGGGUGAGUAACACGUGAGUAACCUGCCCUUGACUUUGGGAUAACUUCAGGAAACUGGGGCUAAUAUCGGACAGGAUCUCCUGCUGCAUGGUGGGGGUGGGAAAGUUUCGGCGGUUGGGGAUGGACUCGCGGCUUAUCAGCUUGUUGGUGGGGUAGUGGCUUACCAAGGCUUUGACGGGUAGCCGGCCUGAGAGGGUGACCGGCCACAUUGGGACUGAGAUACGGACCAGACUCCUACGGGAGGCAGCAGUGGGGAAUAGUGCACAAUGGGCGGAAGCCUGAUGCAGCAACGCCGCGUGCGGGAUGACGGCCUUCGGGUUAUAAACCGCUUUCGCCUGUGACGAAGCGUGAGUGACGGUAAUGGGUAAAGAAGCACCGGCUAACUACGUG